CUCUUAUUCAGAGCGGUGGAGAUACAUAGGAUCUGUGAAACCCGGCAACCCCUGUUUUCAGGAAGGUGCUAACCUGAGCGAGCAAUCGAACAAUAAGGG
rnacentral:ncRNA from 2 species